CCUACGGGGGGCAGCAGUGGGGAAUAUUGGACAAUGGGGGGAACCCUGAUCCAGCCAUGCCGCGUGUGUGAAGAAGGCCCUCGGGUUGUAAAGCACUUUCAGUGAGGAAGAACGCCUGGUGGUUAAUACCCAUCAGGAAAGACAUCACUCACAGAAGAAGCACCGGCUAACUCCGUGCCAGCAGCCGCGGUAAUACGGAGGGUGCGAGCGUUAAUCGGAAUUACUGGGCGUAAAGCGCGCGUAGGUGGCUUGAUAAGCCGGUUGUGAAAGCCCCGGGCUCAACCUGGGAACGGCAUCCGGAACUGUCAAGCUAGAGUGCAGGAGAGGUAGGUAGAAUUCCCGGUGUAGCGGUGAAAUGCGUAGAGAUCGGGAGGAAUACCAGUGGCGAAGGCGGCCUUCUGGACUGACACUGACACUGAGGUGCGAAAGCGUGGGUAGCAAACAGGAUUAGAUACCCUAGUAGUC
rnacentral:rRNA from 1 species